AUUCAUCCCUUGUGGAGUUUCCCUUGUGAGCCUAGAUCUUCAGAGACAGAUAGUGCUGACAGGUGCAUUCAGUGCAGUACACUCACCUCAACAAGAAAGGACACAGCCAGUGUGACUGCCAGCAUCAUCACCAUGGAGAUCCGCCAUGUGGUGGGGGUGCAAACCAGCUGGAAGGAAAGCAGAGGCAGUAAGCAGUGUGUGCACAUACUGACGUGGGUUGGAGCUGGUGUCAUCAAAAGCCAGAAUCCCACACUGGCUGUACACUGCUAACAAACCAAUACUGCUACUUAUCCUGAGGAAUUAUUGAUAAAGAAGCGUUUAUACUUAUGACCCAGCAGAGAAACCAGAACUGCGGCAAGAGGUCUAAAUGCUUCCUCUCUUCCUAAUAUCAGAAAUACUUCUGGGUAUUUCAAACUCCAGACUCGGUUCCAGUGUCCCAUAGCUUUCAGCGCUGGGUUUCUGGCUAUAGCUCAAUUUAUUUUGGAGAUACAGCUCUGAUCAACGCUCAGAUCAGCAGUUGCUCCGGAGCUAGGUUAUUGCAGCUUCUAAUUGCCACUCCUUCCU